rnacentral:tRNA from 1 species
AGAAUCAUAGCUCAAUUGGUAGAGCAUGCGCUUGAUAAGCGCAAGGUUAUUAGUUCAAUCCUAAUUGGUUCUA